rnacentral:rRNA from 1 species
GCUUUACUGUAACUUGGAAUUGAGUUUGGCUCUUCUUGCGCAGUAUAGGUGGAGGCUAAGAAAUAUGCUUGCGGGCAUAUUUGAGCCAUCAUUGAGAUACACUCUGGAAGGGUUGGAACUCUAACUUUGAGCCGUAAGCCGGCAAAAGACAGUUUCUGGUGGGCAGUUUGACUGGGCGGUCGCCUCCUAAAAAGUAACGGAGGCGCGCAAAGGUUCCCUCAGACUGGUCGGAAAUCAGUCGUAGAGUGUAAAGGCAUAAGGGAGCUUAACUGCGAGACUUACAAGUCGAGCAGAGACGAAAGUCGGCCUUAGUGAUCCGGCGGUUCCAUGUGGAAGGGCCGUCGCUCAACGGAUAAAAGUUA